rfam:Gavia stellata contig95799, whole genome shotgun sequence.
GAACUCUGGUUUCUCUUCAAAUCGUACAAACCUUUCACCUUUUACUAAAGAUUUCCAUGGAAAGGAACAAUUUAUUUAUAGCAGCCUUCCAGUACUUAAAGGGGGCCUACAGGAAGGCU